rnacentral:rRNA from 1 species
GACGAACGCUGGCGGCGUGCUUAACACAUGCAAGUCGAACGAAGAGCGAUGGAAGCUUGCUUCUAUCAAUCUUAGUGGCGAACGGGUGAGUAACGCGUAAUCAACCUGCCCUUCAGAGGGGGACAACAGUUGGAAACGACUGCUAAUACCGCAUACGAUCUGACCUCGGCAUCGAGGAUAGAUGAAAGGUGGCCUCUAUUUAUAAGCUAUCACUGAAGGAGGGGAUUGCGUCUGAUUAGCUAGUUGGAGGGGUAACGGCCCACCAAGGCGAUGAUCAGUAGCCGGUCUGAGAGGAUGAACGGCCACAUUGGGACUGAGACACGGCCCAGACUCCUACGGGAGGCAGCAGUGGGGAAUCUUCCGAAAUGGACGAAAGUCUGACGGAGCAACGCCGCGUGAGUGAUGACGGCCUUCGGGUUGUAAAGCUCUGUUAAUCGGGACGAAAGGCCUUCUUGCGAAUAGUUAGAAGGAUUGACGGUACCGGAAUAGAAAGCCACGGCUAACUACGUG